ensembl:lncRNA
UCCCCUCACCAGGAACUCAUGUAUGCUGUUCUGCAGGAUGGCAUAACCACGGGGACAACUAACACAGCUAGGAGAGGGAUUGAGGCCAGCACACAGCCUGCUGCAUGCAUGCAAACUGCACACCCUGCUAAAUGCAUGCACAGCGCACACCCCUCUGCACGCACGCACAGCGCACGCCUUGCUGCAUGCAUGCACAGUGCAAAGCCAGCAAUGCACAGACCUCGGCAGUCUCCAUGCAGAGCCAGCUGUGGGCUCCAGCUGCUUUACCUCUCAGUGCAAGGGCCAUGUCCAAAGCUGGUGGGUGCUCAGGACUCCCUCCCAGCGGCACCAGGGCAAGGUGAGACCCUCUCCGUGCCAGUGAUGGGGAGGUGGACACUUGGGUUGUGCCACGGGGCUUUGGCCUCUGCAGGAUGGACAUCAGAGCCCCCACGGCUUUCCUCACCUCAGAGGCUGGUGAGGAGAAGAGAAAUCCCCUCCAGCCCCUGCUGUGCUGGGGUCCAUCGGGGAAGAAGUGUUCGUACAGCUCAGGCACUGUGGCAACCACGGGCUCUUUGGCUGUAGCCGCAUCGGGAUCCUCCUUUUGCAGCUCAGCAUGGUGCAAACCAAAGAACUCCUUCCCCUUCCUCUCCUUACCCUUGGCUUUUUUCCUCCUUCCUUCAGGUUCAUUGAAAAAAUACUCAUACAGUUCAGGCAAGGAUAUUUCCCUUUCCAAGGGCGUUUUCUUGCCCUCCACUGUGUUCUCUGCUGUUUCUUCUUCCCCCUGGGAGUCGCAGAACAAAUACUCGUACAUCUCAGGCCACGUCACAUCCAGGGUGUCUGCCCCAGGAGAGCCCCCAGCUGCAAAUGUUGGGGAGCCCAUCACCCGGGGGGGGCUGGCUGUGAACUCCCCACAGCCCCCAGCAGCAGCAGCCACACUUCGGGGACCACGAGCCUUCCCCUCCUGGCACAGCUCUCCCAGCACAGUGACAACCACUGGUGUGGGGACAACAACCGGUGGGGUGACAACCACUGGCAUGGUGUCGGGUGCAGUGACCACCACUGGCACAGUGUCACACGUCCCCGUGCCCCCCACCUGCCUGGCCAGCUUGGUGGCCCUUGCCUUCCCUGGUGACUGUGCCCCUGACCCCUUUGCCUUCAGCUUUGGGGACACGUUGGGGAGCACAUCCACCAGCACUGCACCAGGGCUGCCUGUUGGCCAUUUGCCCUCCGCAGCCUCCUCGCUGCUCAGCCUCAUGGGUGCCGCUUUGGCCGCCUUCUCCUUCCCUUUGCCCUUCCUUGAGGUCAGUGGGGAGGAUGAGGGGGCCCUGCUGGGUGCUGUGCUGCCCUGCACCAGGCUCCCCGCUGGUUCCUUCUCCCCAGGGGUCACCUCGGUGCCACCAACUCCACGCUGCUUGCGGCUCUUCCUCGCCGAUGUCGGCACUUUGGGUCUCACCACCUCCAGGACACUGGGCUGGCUGGCUGCUUUCUCCCCAAGCUCUGCAGCAGGCUCUGCAGCAGGAUGCUCAUGGGGGGGUCCCGGCACCCCAGCAUGGCUUUUCCAUGCAGUAGCCUCCUGGGCACCUCCCUGUGCCACUGCUGGGCUCCCACAGCGCUGCUCCAUAGCGGCAUCCUCUCCUUGGGCACAGGUCACAGCAGGGUGCCCAGCAUUCUCCAUGGCCCCGCUGCCAGCAGCUCCUUCCCCCAACGCUGCAUCCUGCCCCGCAGCGCCCUCGGCUGCAGGAGGAUGGGGCGGCUGCCUGCCCUGCACGCUGGGCAUGGCAGCAAGCAGCGGGCAGACGGGCUGCUUGCCUCCACGUAGAAUGGAUGAGCACGGAUCUGCUUCGUCCUCUCCGCACAGCCCACGUGGGGAGCAGCUCGCCUUGCCAAGCCCUGGCUCGGCGCCUGCCCUGGUGCUGCACAGAGCGGGCACACUGUCCCCUUGCUCAAUGUCACUGAGGCACUGCUCCUCCACCGUAGCCAGGGCAGCCGGCUCUUGGUUGCAUUCCUCCACCGCCUGCAAGAACUCAGCCCAGUCGCGGUCGUUCAGAUGGAUGCUGUACUCGAAGUUAUCCAUGCCUGCAGCAGCACAGCAAGGGGAGGGGGCCGGAGAGAGCAGGGAGUGAGGAGGGGGCAUGGCAUCACUAGCAGAGCAUGCCCCCUGGCCAUCGGCCCUGCUCAUUCUGGGGCUGGAAUCAGUGGGAUCUCAUCCCAUGAGGAUGGCUGAUGGCAGACCCCACAGGUGGUGCUGAGCUUGGUAUGGCCAUGGCCACUCCAUUCGGGGCUGCUCUGGGUAUUCCCUCUGCACAGCACCAUGAAAUUGCAUCUCUCCUUCCCUUUUCCCACUUGCUUUGCCCCCAACCUGUGCAAGAAACAGAGGGCUGAGGCUCUUUCCUGCUGCCCAGCGCCAUGCAGGAGGGAGCAUGCAGUGCAGCCCAUGCAGGGAGGUUUGCAGCCUUUUGGGGGGGGGAGACGCAACAGAGCCCAGAGCCAGCAGGGGGGACCCAGCAGCAGGACGAGAAGCAGAGAGACCACAACACAGCAUCCUACCUGUGCCACAGCCCCAGGUGGUGACAGAGCCAUCCAGAGAGCAGCGCAGGAAAAUUCCCCCAGCACAACAUGAUGCCGUACCCUUGACGGGGGCAGAGAGCUUCAGCCCUGCUCCAUUCACUGCUAAAAAUAGUCCCCGUGUCACCUGAGCUGUGGGGAGGGCAGCUCCUUAUUUAGAAGCUGCUGGGGCAGAGGCGAGGUGGCGGGCGGCACGUCACUGCCCUGUGCUCUAUGGGGUCCAUGGGACUGUAGCCCCAUGGGAUGGGCAUCACAGCCCCACGGGGUGGGUAUCACAGCCCCACAGGAUGGGUAUUACAGCCCCACGGGCAUCGCAGCCCCAUGGGAUGGCCCAUAGAUGGAGAGCAUCAGCGGGAUCAUAGAGUGCGCACAGGGGAACUGAGCGGCCACGGGACGGCAACCAGAACCAGAAAUAGCCUCAGCAGCCAGAAAUAGCUGGGAACUGCUGCCCUGCCCCUGCUGCGGCCCCGUUCUGCAGGGAGGAAGCUCCCCUGCGCGGCUGCCGUCACGCACUGCACGGCCACGCGGCAGCACGCGGCCCUAUGCAUCCUGCAGGCUGACGCACACGCGGAGAGGGCCAGUGGGAACACGGCGGAGGGAAGAGGGCUGCUGCCUGCC